CCUACGGGAGGCUGCAGUGAGGAAUAUUGGUCAAUGGGCGCGAGCCUGAACCAGCCAAGUAGCGUGAAGGAUGACUGCCCUACGGGUUGUAAACUUCUUUUAUAAGGGAAUAAAGUGAGGCACGUGUGCCUUUUUGUAUGUACUUUAUGAAUAAGGAUCGGCUAACUCCGUGCCAGCAGCCGCGGUAAUACGGAGGAUCCGAGCGUUAUCCGGAUUUAUUGGGUUUAAAGGGAGCGUAGGUGGCUUGUUAAGUCAGUUGUGAAAGUUUGCGGCUCAACCGUAGCAUUGCAGUUGAAACUGGCAGUCUUGAGUACGGUGAAGGUAGGCGGAAUUCGUGGUGUAGCGGUGAAAUGCUUAGAUAUGACGAAGAACUCCGAUUGCGAAGGCAGUUCGCUGCACUGCAACUGACACUGAGGCUCGAAAGUGUGGGUAUCGAACAGGAUUAGAUACCCCAGUAGUC
rnacentral:rRNA from 1 species